rnacentral:rRNA from 1 species
UCCUGGCUCAGGAUGAACGCUGGCGGCGUGCCUAAUACAUGCAAGUCGAGCGAACGGACGAGAAGCUUGCUUCUCUGAUGUUAGCGGCGGACGGGUGAGUAACACGUGGAUAACCUACCUAUAAGACUGGGAUAACUUCGGGAAACCGGAGCUAAUACCGGAUAAUAUUUUGAACCGCAUGGUUCAAAAGUGAAAGACGGUCUUGCUGUCACUUAUAGAUGGAUCCGCGCUGCAUUAGCUAGUUGGUAAGGUAACGGCUUACCAAGGCAACGAUGCAUAGCCGACCUGAGAGGGUGAUCGGCCACACUGGAACUGAGACACGGUCCAGACUCCUACGGGAGGCAGCAGUAGGGAAUCUUCCGCAAUGGGCGAAAGCCUGACGGAGCAACGCCGCGUGAGUGAUGAAGGUCUUCGGAUCGUAAAACUCUGUUAUUAGGGAAGAACAUAUGUGUAAGUAACUGUGCACAUCUUGACGGUACCUAAUCAGAAAGCCACGGCUAACUACGUGCCAGCAGCCGCGGUAAUACGUAGGUGGCAAGCGUUAUCCGGAAUUAUUGGGCGUAAAGCGCGCGUAGGCGGUUUUUUAAGUCUGAUGUGAAAGCCCACGGCUCAACCGUGGAGGGUCAUUGGAAACUGGAAAACUUGAGUGCAGAAGAGGAAAGUGGAAUUCCAUGUGUAGCGGUGAAAUGCGCAGAGAUAUGGAGGAACACCAGUGGCGAAGGCGACUUUCUGGUCUGUAACUGACGCUGAUGUGCGAAAGCGUGGGGAUCAAACAGGAUUAGAUACCCUGGUAGUCCACGCCGUAAACGAUGAGUGCUAAGUGUUAGGGGGUUUCCGCCCCUUAGUGCUGCAGCUAACGCAUUAAGCACUCCGCCUGGGGAGUACGACCGCAAGGUUGAAACUCAAAGGAAUUGACGGGGACCCGCACAAGCGGUGGAGCAUGUGGUUUAAUUCGAAGCAACGCGAAGAACCUUACCAAAUCUUGACAUCCUUUGACAACUCUAGAGAUAGAGCUUUCCCCUUCGGGGGACAAAGUGACAGGUGGUGCAUGGUUGUCGUCAGCUCGUGUCGUGAGAUGUUGGGUUAAGUCCCGCAACGAGCGCAACCCUUAAGCUUAGUUGCCAUCAUUAAGUUGGGCACUCUAAGUUGACUGCCGGUGACAAACCGGAGGAAGGUGGGGAUGACGUCAAAUCAUCAUGCCCCUUAUGAUUUGGGCUACACACGUGCUACAAUGGACAAUACAAAGGGCAGCGAAACCGCGAGGUCAAGCAAAUCCCAUAAAGUUGUUCUCAGUUCGGAUUGUAGUCUGCAACUCGACUACAUGAAGCUGGAAUCGCUAGUAAUCGUAGAUCAGCAUGCUACGGUGAAUACGUUCCCGGGUCUUGUACACACCGCCCGUCACACCACGAGAGUUUGUAACACCCGAAGCCGGUGGAGUAACCUUUUAGGAGCUAGCCGUCGAAGGUGGGACAAAUGAUUGGGGUGAAGUCGUAACAAGGUAGCCGUAUCGGAAGGUGCGGCUGGAUCACCUCCUUU